GCUUAGUAUCCUCCAUAUUUAAGGACUCAUGAGGAAGAGAAAUUUGAUCAGAGGAAAUUGACGACCUCGGCGGAGAUUCCACCGGCGGUGAAGAUACUUUAGUAGCUGUAGAAUCUCUAUUAACAGUAGCAGUAGUAGAAUCAAUCUUACUAACUUUAUGUUCUCCACACUUACUAAAAUCAUCUGAAUCGGAGGAAAUUGAUGACCUCGGCUGAG
rnacentral:misc_RNA from 1 species